rnacentral:rRNA from 1 species
AACGAACGCUGGCGGCAUGCCUAACACAUGCAAGUCGAACGAGACCUUCGGGUCUAGUGGCGCACGGGUGCGUAACGCGUGGGAACCUGCCCUUAGGUUCGGAAUAACUCCCCGAAAGGGGUGCUAAUACCGGAUAAUGUCUUCGGACCAAAGAUUUAUCGCCCUUGGAUGGGCCCGCGUUGGAUUAGCUAGUUGGUAGGGUAAAAGCCUACCAAGGCGACGAUCCAUAGCUGGUCUGAGAGGAUGAUCAGCCACACUGGGACUGAGACACGGCCCAGACUCCUACGGGAGGCAGCAGUGGGGAAUAUUGGACAAUGGGGGAAGGCAUGAUCCAGCACUGCCGCGUGAGUGAUGAAGGCCUUAGGGUUGUAAAGCUCUUUUACCCGAGAUGAUAAUGACAGUACCGGGAGAAUAAGCUCCGGCUAACUCCGUG